UGGAAUAACACGAGGAAACUUGUGCUAAUACCGGAUAAGUCUUUACGGAGAAAGCUUUAUGCACCAUUGGAUGAGCCUGCACUUGAUUAGUUUGUUGGUGGGGUAAUGGCCUACCAAGACUGUGAUCAAUAGCUGAUUUGAGAGGAUGAUCAGCCACAUUGGGACUGAGACACGGCCCAAACUCCUACGGGAGGCAGCAGUGGGGAAUCUUGCACAAUGGAGGAAACUCUGAUGCAGCGAUGCCGCGUGAGUGAAGAAGGCCCUUGGGUUGUAAAGCUCUUUCGUCGGGGAAGAAAAUGACUGUACCCGAAUAAGAAGGUCCGGCUAACUUCGUGCCAGCAGCCGCGGUAAUACGAAGGGACCUAGCGUAGUUCGGAAUUACUGGGCUUAAAGAGUUCGUAGGUGGUUGAAAAAGUUGGUGGUGAAAUCCCAGAGCUUAACUCUGGAACUGCCAUCAAAACUUUUCAGCUAGAGUAUGAUAGAGGAAAGCAGAAUUUCUAGUGUAGAGGUGAAAUUCGUAGAUAUUAGAAAGAAUACCAAUUGCGAAGGCAGCUUUCUGGAUCAUUACUGACACUGAGGAACGAAAGCAUGGGUAGCGAAGAGGAUUAGAUACCCUCGUAGUCCAUGCCGUAAACGAUGUGUGUUAGACGUUGGAAAUUUAUUUUCAGUGUCGCAGCGAAAGCGAUAAACACA
rnacentral:rRNA from 1 species